ACGGAAGUUCACAUGCACAAGCAUCCUAAGCAAGGAGCGACUGUUCGGGCAUAUACUUCUCUGAGAACUGGAACAGAGCCAGAAAGCUCCAACCAGAGUGUUAGAAACAUCUAUAACUACUCUGGAACCUUCCAGCUAGAAGACAAGCUUUGAAGACAAUGUGCCCCCACCUGGAGGAUUGGGUGACUGAGAUAUUGAUCUAAGAAGUUUAUGUGCACAAAAUGGAUUUCCUAUUACCUUAAAUAAUGGCAACUGUGUUUUUCAGCUGUUUCUAAUACUGUUAGGAGGUCUUUGUUGGAUAUACUGUUUAUAGUCCAUGAAAGCUUUAUUGCAAUUCAAUAUCUGACUUAUUAGAGAAACUAGGUAACACAAGCAAGUCCCCUUCUAGCCACCUGACAAAUGAAUUGACAAUGUAACGAUUUGCAUAGCACUGAGAACAGGUGACCUCAAGCUCAGAGGUCUGUCUGCUUUUGCCUCCUGAGUGAGUGCAGGGAUUAAAGAGGAGCAGGGCAGCAUUCAGCUGAGAAUAGAGCUAGGAAGGACUCAGGGACUAUGGGAGGUGAAGAAAGAAAAGAAUGAGAUCUAGAACAGAUCCUGUAUUGUGUGUACUGAUCUUCCCCUUGAGACUGAAGACUUUAUAUCUGCAGUUGCUAGCUGACAACCUCCAGUCCUCAGUCUGAAGACUGUUUUUUUUUCCUUGCCAAAAAGCACUGCUUUCUGCCAGUGUGUGGCAGUGCUGAAGAGCCCUGAUAGUUCUGGAGCACUCCCUAGUACUACCAAGGCCUGUUCCGAUGGAAGCUUGAUGCUCUGCUUGCUUCUUUUACAGCUCUCAGGCGCUGAUCCCAGGGGCCUCCCUGAUGUUCCCCCAUGCUAAUUUGUUCUGAGUCAACUUCCCAGGGAACUUGACCUAGAGUAAAUACCAUGGCAGCCCUACUCUUAUUGUUUAUUUGCACAGAUUAUCCCUGAUGAAUAUGGUUUGAUGUACUAGUUUUUAACUUUACAAUGGUGUGAAACCAACACCAUUUAGUAUAAGAUUUUUGAUUUUGAUUUUGGUCAGUUCCCAGGCUCAUGAAAUGUGCCAAUGAGCCGUCGCUCUCAAAUCAGUUAUAGGAUCGUAAGUGUAAAUACUUAACAUUCUCUGUGCCAACUUGCUAAAGUGUAAUAUUCCAACAGAUUAAUGCAUUUAUGACCUGUGGAAGAUAUUUUCAAUGCAUAUUGGAAUUAUCAGAACAUAACCACAGUUUAGAAGCCUCUAUAUAUGGAAUAUUCAUGUAGGAUUUUAUUGAAAGCAAUUCAAACUGGUUUCACACUUAAAUGCUUUACCCAGUAAGGAAAAUUAUCAUUAUGUUAUAUAUGGAAGACUACUUUAUGGUUCAUCUUUCAAACUAACAUCAGGGGAGUAUUGUUUCUUUUUCUAUUAGCCUUUGUAUUUAUUUUGCAUUUAUAAACAUAUCCUUAUGCCUUAGAGCAGAAAUGUAUUAGCUAAUAGAAUGAGUCAUGACUAUUUUUAAUGUUCCUAACAUACCUAAAAUCAAGAAUGUUCAUUAAUAAAAGUGACUGUAACAAACC
rnacentral:lncRNA from 1 species